GAGUUUGAUCCUGGCUCAGAACGAACGCUGGCGGCAGGCUUAANACAUGCAAGUCGAACGAUGAAACCUUUCGCGGGGUGGACACGUGGCUGACGGGUGAGUAACGCGUGUGGUAAACUAAUCUCAGCAGGUAACGGGGACGAACCAUUGGAAAGCGAUGGCUAAUACCUGACCAUACGUCCCGCCCUAUAGUCGUAAAUUCUGGAGUGGGGAAAGAUUCAUCGCGCUUUGGAUGUGACCCGCGUACAGAUAUAGUUUGUUGGUGGGGUAAUGGACUACACAAGGCAUACGAUCUUUAGACUGGUCUCGCAGNAGAGAUGAUACAAGGCACAUUUGGGACUUGAGGAACACGGGCCAAGAACUUCCUUAACGGGAAAUGNAACAGUUGGGGGAAUUCUUUGGGGCAAUUGGGCGGAAAGCCUGGAACGGCAGGCAUGCCGAGUGAGUGACAGAAGGCCCUACGGGGUUUGUAAAAAACAAUAUCUUUCGGCCCGGGUGAACGAAUCCGUGGAACGGGUAACCCGGGUAACAGAAGCCCCCGGGGACCUAAAUUCCCGGUGGACACGAGCACAGANCCGGCGGGUAAAGACCAGAGAAGAGGGGGGCAAUAAGCAGGUAUGUACANAGGAAAUUUACACAUGGAGAACGUAUCACAGGGAGCAGCUAGGAAAGGCGCGGGAAAUGGGAGNUCCAAGAAACACAGGGGGAGGUUAAAAAACAGCAGACCCAGUAGGGGNACUCAAAAACCAACCCAGCGGGAACAAACGGAGACC
rnacentral:rRNA from 1 species